AAAUCGCAUCGGCUGCCGGGUAAAGAGCAGCCGCUCCAGGCAGCCCCCGGGAGAAACUCGCGCAAUGGAUGGAUGGAUGGAUGGACGGACGGAUGGAUGGGCUGGCAAGCGAAUCCAGAGGAAAUCCGGAGCUGGCCAGGCCCUUUGGAGUCCAGCAUCCCCGCCUGGAUUUGGGAUCACGACUCAACGGCGCUUCUGGCUUGGAUUCUCCUCCUCCUCCUCCUCUUCCUCCUCCUCUUCCUUCCUUUCGUCUGGCCCGCGGAACGUACAGUUGUGGAUUUAUUGUCGCGGUGCGUGCAAGAGCCAAUCUCCUCGCCGCCGCCGCCACCGCCGCCGCCGCCAGCACCACCGCCAGCAGCGCCACCAGCACCGCCAGCAGCUUUCUGACUCUCUUCGGUGACGGGUUACAAGCAUUUGUCCAAUUCCGCUUUGCCUUCUUUAUUCCCCCCCCCCCCGCGCGCGCUUUGGAGAAGAGACGGGGGAACAGAGAUGCGCGUUCAAUGGAACAAAGCAAAACUUGA
rnacentral:lncRNA from 1 species